CAAUUAUACAUUCAGAACACUGUUUUUAUAGGAAUCCCUAAUACUAAUACUAAUAUCUUCUACAUUUUACGCAAAAUUAUAUAAUUCGUAGGUAUUUGUGUCCCCUGUUGUACAAAUUGAUUUCGUAGCACGCUGGUUUCAUAACACUUAAUACAUAUUAUUAAAAAUAUAAUACUGUAUGCUACAUGUUUUAUCAACACAAACGUAUUAUAUCUAUAAUACAUAAUAGCGUUUUAUUGAGGAACUUAAUUGAUAUUAAUAAGAUAAAAGAUUAGUAAGAUAUUUAGGAAAGGAAGAAGUUAACAUUAAAUGUCGAUAAAUCGAAGGUUCUUCUUUCCGGAAAAGGAGGCAGUAAAAGUAAGAAGAGAAAAUGGGAAUGGAAAGAAAAAGAAUUGGAGCAGAUAAUACAAUAUCUUAAAUAUUUAGCAUAUAUUUUUAGCAAAAGCGAGAAAAAUACAGAACAGUUGAAAGGGUUGAUAAGGAAAGGUAAUCUGGCAUUAAGGUAAAUGUGUGGAAUUGGAGUUUAUUUGACUUAUUGGAAAUAAAUUUAUUUGACAGUUUAGUAAAGAAUCCAAAUUGAUCGGUAUCUAGGGCGAAAUAUGAUAAUUUAAAGGAAACAGAGAUAGUAUUAGGAAAUUGAUAUGAUGACAAACACAGAGUAUGUAUGAUAUAGGGAAUGGAGGAACCGAUAUAACACUUUCGAAGGCUGUACAAUGAGAUUGAAAAAGGAAGUGUAAAAAUUGAAAAGAUUUUGAGCAAUAAGGGCUCAGAAGAAGGAACAAGAUGGCUAGGGAUGUUGGAUAGAGAAAGGAAGAAGAGGACAGAGAUGUGCGAGUCAAUUGCGGACAACGGUUAGAGCUGAUGUUAGUAGGGUUAAAAGGGAAGGCAAGUAAGCAGGAGAAAACAAGU